rnacentral:rRNA from 1 species
CAUAGGUUAAUGAGGCGAACCGGGGGAACUGAAACAUCUAAGUACCCCGAGGAAAAGAAAUCAACCGAGAUUCCCCCAGUAGCGGCGAGCGAACGGGGAGCAGCCCAGAGCCUGAAUCAGUAUGUGUGUUAGUGGAAGCGUCUGGAAAGGCGCGCGAUACAGGGUGACAGCCCCGUACACAAAAAUGCACAUGCUGUGAGCUCGAUGAGUAGGGCGGGACACGUGGUAUCCUGUCUGAAUAUGGGGGGACCAUCCUCCAAGGCUAAAUACUCCUGACUGACCGAUAGUGAACCAGUACCGUGAGGGAAAGGCGAAAAGAACCCCGGCGAGGGGAGUGAAAAAGAACCUGAAACCGUGUACGUACAAGCAGUGGGAGCACGCUUAGGCGUGUGACUGCGUACCUUUUGUAUAAUGGGUCAGCGACUUAUAUUCUGUAGCAAGGUUAACCGAAUAGGGGAGCCGAAGGGAAACCGAGUCUUAACUGGGCGUUAAGUUGCAGGGUAUAGACCCGAAACCCGGUGAUCUAGCCAUGGGCAGGUUGAAGGUUGGGUAACACUAACUGGAGGACCGAACCGACUAAUGUUGAAAAAUUAGCGGAUGACUUGUGGCUGGGGGUGAAAGGCCAAUCAAACCGGGAGAUAGCUGGUUCUCCCCGAAAGCUAUUUAGGUAGCGCCUCGUGAAUUCAUCUCCGGGGGUAGAGCACUGUUUCGGCAAGGGGGUCAUCCCGACUUACCAACCCGAUGCAAACUGCGAAUACCGGAGAAUGUUAUCACGGGAGACACACGGCGGGUGCUAACGUCCGUCGUGAAGAGGGAAACAACCCAGACCGCCAGCUAAGGUCCCAAAGUCAUGGUUAAGUGGGAAACGAUGUGGGAAGGCCCAGACAGCCAGGAUGUUGGCUUAGAAGCAGCCAUCAUUUAAAGAAAGCGUAAUAGCUCACUGGUCGAGUCGGCCUGCGCGGAA